rnacentral:rRNA from 1 species
GUAGGAUAGGUGGGAGGCUUUGAAGCGUGGACGCCAGUCUGCGUGGAGCCAUCCUUGAAAUACCACCCUUUAAUGGCUGGUGUUCUAACGUGGACCCGUAAUCCGGGUUGCGGACAGUGUCUGGUGGGUAGUUUGACUGGGGCGGUCUCCUCCUAAAGAGUAACGGAGGAGCACGAAGGUUAGCUAAUCCUGGUCGGACAU